rnacentral:rRNA from 1 species
AUGGUCCUUCUGGAUACCCAGGGCAACCACAUCUAUGUUGAGAUCGGUGAGAAACUUGUGUCUAAGUUUAUCAGUAAACUGAAGGAAGGAUGUGCAUAUGAAAUUUCACAGUUCUUGGUGUUCCUGAACAAGCGUUAUUUCAAGCAAAUCGAUGCAGUACACAUGAUCAGGUUCAAUAGGUUCACCACGGCCAAUCCUAAUACCGAUCCAAAAGCUCAGUUUCCAUUUUGCACCUACUCACUCACUGAACUGUCACGCCUUCCUGCCCCUCUCGAUGCACCUGACUUCUUCACAGAUGUACUUGGAGUUAUCACUGGUGUGUUUGAUGCUGUUCAGUAUCACAGCUCGAACAGGAGCGAGCCUUCCACAAAGUGUACUAUCAACAUCAAGGACCUAAAUGUAUACCAGAUAACGGUUGUCCUCUGGGGUGAACAUGCCACAACCUUUGAAGGAGACUACAUUAUCGAGCUAGGACAGUCUGAACCAGUGGUUGCACUGUUUUUGGAACUCUGGUAA